AGCCUUACAGCCCCGCCCGCGGAGUCCCUGGCGCGGAGAGACCUGGGCUGCGGGCGGGGAGACCCGGGCGCGUGGGGAGGCCGGGCGCGCGGAGAGACCUGGGCUGCGAGCGGGGAGACCCAGGCGCGCGGGGAGGCCGGGCGCGCGGAGAGACCGCGACUGCAGGCGGGGAGGCCCGGGCUUGAGGGGCCGGCUCUGGAGCCUGGGAGAAGGCAUGUCCAGGAUCCCUGAGCAGACCCGAUUCCCACCAGCCCUCUGCAUCAUCUGCUCCACACCGAAGUUGGACUUUCCCACAGAAGAGAAGGCAAAGAAAAGGUUCCAUCUACCAGAGCAGCGCCUGAGGACACAGAACCCAUUUGCCUCAGAUCCUGUUUGAAGGCCAAGCAGAAAUGAAAUCAGUUCCCCUGAAGAAAGUGGCCUGGCAGAACAAAUGGGUAGAAAGUGGAUGGACUGAGGAGAACCUGGAUCCCUUAGCUGUGUUGUUCGCACUUCAGGGCCUGGGCACCUCCUGUUUCCUAUAGACUGCAAAAUUAUCACUCCUGACUAGUGCAGUUACUGGGAUCCGCCAUUUGUCAAAUACCUGGAUUCGACUUUAACAGGAGAUGCACCAAAGUGAAGCAGUGAAGUUCUUUGUGAACAAAGUGGAGCAGUGUCAAGGCUCCAUCGUGACUGUGAUAUCUGAGAGAGUCAGUCAAGCUCCAGCAGGGGUGAGAACAGGGUCCCCCGUGGAGGCCACCGUCACCACGGACUGUGUCGGGGACCACGGCGUGAAGCACCAUGGUAUGAACCCUGCACAUAGACACUGCUCAAGGACCAUUGGCCAUCUUGCAUCAGUGUGGCAUUCGAGGAAUUUCUGGGGACGAAAAUUUCAAUUUCUGGGCUAUUUUAUGGGACCGCUGCCUGGUCUGUCUAGAAUUCCAGAACCUUUCCCCGGUUUCCAGCUGGACCUGCUAUGA
ensembl:lncRNA